AACGGCCGUACCAUGCUGAAUAUACCGGUUCUCGUUAGAUCACCGAAGUCAAGCAUCAUUGGGCACGGUCAGUACUUGGGUGGCUGACCACCUGGGAACACCGCGUGCCGUU